rnacentral:rRNA from 1 species
UUCGGGGUACUCGAGUGGCGAACGGGUGAGUAACACGUGGGUGAUCUGCCCUGCACUUUGGGAUAAGCCUGGGAAACUGGGUCUAAUACCGAAUAGGACUACGCGAUGCAUGUCGUGUGGUGGAAAGCUUUUGCGGUGUGGGAUGGGCCCGCGGCCUAUCAGCUUGUUGGUGAGGUUACGGCUCACCAAGGCGACGACGGGUAGCCGGCCUGAGAGGGUGACCGGCCACACUGGGACUGAGAUACGGCCCAGACUCCUACGGGAGGCAGCAGUGGGGAAUAUUGCACAAUGGGCGCAAGCCUGAUGCAGCGACGCCGCGUGAGGGAUGACGGCCUUCGGGUUGUAAACCUCUUUCGCCAGGGACGAAGCGCAAGUGACGGUACCUGGAGAAGAAGGACCGGCCAACUACGUGCCAGCAGCCGCGGUAAUACGUAGGGUCCGAGCGUUGUCCGGAAUUACUGGGCGUAAAGAGCUCGUAGGUGGUUUGUCGCGUUGUUCGUGAAAACUCACAGCUCAACUGUGGGCGUGCGGGCGAUACGGGCAGACUGGAGUACUGCAGGGGAGACUGGAAUUCCUGGUGUAGCGGUGGAAUGCGCAGAUAUCAGGAGGAACACCGGUGGCGAAGGCGGGUCUCUGGGCAGUAACUGACGCUGAGGAGCGAAAGCGUGGGGAGCGAACAGGAUUAGAUACCCUGGUAGUCCACGCCGUAAACGGUGGGUACUAGGUGUGGGUUUCCUUCCUUGGGAUCCGUGCCGUAGCUAACGCAUUAAGUACCCCGCCUGGGGAGUACGGCCGCAAGGCUAAAACUCAAAGAAAUUGACGGGGGCCCGCACAAGCGGCGGAGCAUGUGGAUUAAUUCGAUGCAACGCGAAGAACCUUACCUGGGUUUGACAUGCACAGGACGUGCCUAGAGAUAGGUAUUCCCUUGUGGCCUGUGUG